rnacentral:rRNA from 1 species
UUGAACGCUGGCGGAAUGCUUUACACAUGCAAGUCGAGCGGCAGCGCGGGGGCAACCCUGGCGGCGAGCGGCGAACGGGUGAGUAAUGCAUCGGAACGUACCCAGUCGUGGGGGAUAACUACGCGAAAGCGUAGCUAAUACCGCAUACGCCCUGAGGGGGAAAGCGGGGGACCUUCGGGCCUCGCGCGAUUGGAGCGGCUGAUGUCGGAUUAGCUAGUUGGUGGGGUAAAGGCCUACCAAGGCGACGAUCCGUAGCUGGUCUGAGAGGAUGAUCAGCCACACUGGGACUGAGACACGGCCCAGACUCCUACGGGAGGCAGCAGUGGGGAAUUUUGGACAAUGGGCGAAAGCCUGAUCCAGCCAUGCCGCGUGAGUGAAGAAGGCCUUCGGGUUGUAAAGCUCUUUCAGCCGGAAAGAAAUCGCGCAGGCUAAUACUCUGCGUGGAUGACGGUACCGGAAGAAGAAGCACCGGCUAACUACGU